UUAGUUGAAGCCAAAUCAGAGGCAUGUCACUGUUAAUGACAGUAUUGAGUUUAAUCUCCAAUUAAG
rnacentral:tRNA from 1 species